UGCGGAAGGAUCAUUGUCGAUACCCGAUGAAUACCGGCGAACCCGUCAACCAACGCGCCAUCCCAGACGGUGCGCCGGGACUCCAUCUCCAUGCCCGACCACCACGCGGGACGGACCCAGCCAUUUGUCGCCGCUCCCGUAACGGACGGCACAGAAGGGACGGACGAACCCCGGCACGGCACGUGCCAAGGAUCUUCCUCGCCGGCGUGGCGUGGCGGCGGGACGGCGGCGGCAAUGCAAUCGCCGUCCACGCUCCCGUCCGCCGGCGGUGACAAAAACAUGCAUCCAUGACGACUUUCGGCAACGGAUAUCUAGGCUCUCGCAUCGAUGAAGAACGUAGCGAAAUGCGAUAUUUGGUGUGAAUUGCAGAAUCCCGCGAACCAUCGAGUCUUUGAACGCAAGUUGCGCCCGAGACCUCCUGGUCGAGGGCACGCCUGCCUGGGCGUCACGCCUCGCGUCGCUCCGUGCGCCCCACCCAUCAUCGGUAUGGGGCGGGCGGAGGCGGAGAUUGGCCUCACCGUGUCGCCUCAGGCGCGGCGGGCUGAAGUAACGGUUGCCGACGUGGCGUGGGGACACAACGAGUGGUGGACGGAAGUCUCUUGCCGCGGUCGGUGUGUUGUUCCCCCCUGGAAACGGCUCGUGCAAAAAACAAAGGCCGUGCAGCCUCCUGUAUGGCCAGAAAGAGACCCCCUCGAUGGGCGAACGGGCCGGUCGUCGGCCCGCCGCCCUCGCGUCGCGACCCCAGGUCAGGCGGGACCACCCG
rnacentral:rRNA from 1 species